rnacentral:rRNA from 1 species
AAAAUUGUAUAAUUAAUAGUCUAGAGUAGUAUUAGUUAGGGUCUUGAAACUCAAAAAAUUUGGCGGUAUUUUAGUCUAUUUAGAGGAACCUGUAGUAUAAUCGAUAGUCCACGAUGGACCUUACUUAAUUUUGUUUUUCAGUUUGUAUACCGCUGUUAUUUGAAUAUUUUAUAAGAAUAUUAAUUUUCAUAAUUUUUAAUUAAAGAAUAUAUCAGGUCAAGGUGCAGCUUAUGAUUAAGAAUUUAUGGGUUACAAUAAAUUUAUUUAUACGAAUAAAAAUGUGAAAUUAUUUUUUGAAGGUGGAUUUAAUAGUAAAUUUUUAUAGAUAAAAUAAUUGAUU